AAUCUAGUGGAAACACUUCUGCACAAACUCGAUUUUGAUGCCAGUGUGCAGAAAUGCUUCUGCUACAUU
rnacentral:pre_miRNA from 14 species